rnacentral:rRNA from 1 species
CCAGCAGCCGCGGUAAUUCCAGCUCCAAUAGCGUAUAUUAAAGUUGUUGCAGUUAAAAAGCUCGUAGUUGAACCUUGGGUCUGGCUGGCAGGUCCGCCUCACCGCGUGUACUUGUCCGGCCGGGCCUUCCUUCUGGAGAACCUCAUGCCCUUCACUGGGCGUGUUGGGGACCAGGACUUUUACUUUGAAAAAAUUAGAGUGUUCAAAGCAGGCCUUUGCUCGAAUACGUUAGCAUGGAAUAAUAAAAUAGGACGUGCGGUCCUAUUUUGUUGGUUUCUAGGACCGCCGUAAUGAUUAAUAGGGACAGUCGGGGGCAUCAGUAUUCAAUUGUCAGAGGUGAAAUUCUUGGAUUUAUUGAAGACUAACUACUGCGAAAGCAUUUGCCAAGGAUGUUUUCAUUAAUCAGUGAACGAAAGUUAGGGGAUCGAAGACGAUCAGAUACCGUCGUAGUCUUAACCGUAAACUAUGCCGACUAGGGAUCGGGCGAUGUUCUUUUUCUGACUCGCUCGGCACCUUACGAGAAAUCAAAG